rnacentral:lncRNA from 1 species
AGAAGUGAAUCCCCUCUCCUGCUUAAGUCCUUCCCACAGAGAGCGGUUUGAUAUGUCACUGAAACCAGCAUCCAGGUGGUAUUGCUCCAUAUGCCUGAGACCCUAACAAAAGCCUAAUUACAACUCAUAUGCCUGGAGCCAGGACAUGUGCAGGAUGGUGAUGUAACUUUCCUCUCUGGAAUGGGUCCUGCACAAAGGAAUGAUAGUAACAUAUUGCAAAGCCAGACACACAGCCAUGAUGGUCCAAGUUAUAUUGGGAUUCAGCCAAUAGAAGAUAUUUUGCCUGUCAUCCCUAAGCUUAGGACAAUAGGGUCCUGCCCACAAGAAAGAUUGUGACAUCUCACUGGACAAGCACCCACCCAGGUAAUGUGACUCUACAUUCCUGCCUGGGUCCUGCUCACCAAAGAAAUUGUGACUUACCGCUGAUUGCAAACCCUAAAUGAUGUGACUGUCCUUCAUAUUCUAGACUCUGCCAAGAGAGGGGAUUAUUACAUAUUGCAGAGCCCAGCACCUAGGUGGAGUGACUCUCAUCUUUUUCUUCUACCCCGUAUAUAGCCAGCUUGGUGACCUACUAUUUGAGUCUAUACCCAGGCCCAGACCACAGAUGAAAUUGUGCAAUAUGUGGAACAAACACCUAAACAAUAUAUAACACCUUCCUUGGCUCUGUCUACAAAGGGCACUUUUAUAUAUCACUGGGACCAUCAACCAGGUGAUGUUAAUUAUCUUCCUGAAACCUGUCUACAAAGAGAGUUGUGUCGUAUACCUAGGCCCGUCAUGUAAGUGAUGUCAGUCCCUUCUACUGCCUUGGCCCUGCACUUACAGUGCAUUGUGACACAUAACAAGGUACUGCACACAGACGAUGUGAUUCUCCUUUUUGGGUUCUGCCAAAAGGAAGCAUUGUAAUAAAUCGCUUGGCUCAGU